rnacentral:misc_RNA from 1 species
CUGACGGUGCUGCAACAACAUGUCUCCCUCGACAUUUUGCCGAACACUUGGCACGCGCACGGCGGUGGCAGCGAGUCGAAGCAAGGGAAGGUGCCGGGGCUGUUGGGUGCCAUCUCGAAGGGCGUCAGGGAGGAGAUAGCAGGGGGAGGCGCUGCUCCACCCAAACCAGAGAGAGGGCGCGAGUCCCAGGCGUUUCCUGGCCGCGGUAGGGAAGAGAAAAAGGGGGGCGCCAUGGCCAUGGAGAAAAUGGAGCUGCUGUGUCAUGCCAUGGACAUGGACCUCGCCGAGGUCGACCCAAGGAGCUCCUGCGCGCAGGGUAGAAAUGCUCCCUGCCGCAGCCGCUCUCUAGGGGGAGGAGCAGUGAGGGUGCUCGGCCUGCAAUAG